rnacentral:rRNA from 1 species
UACGUAGGGUCCGAGCGUUGUCCGGAAUUACUGGGCGUAAAGAGCUCGUAGGUGGUUUGUCGCGUUGUUCGUGAAAACUCACAGCUUAACUGUGGGCGUGCGGGCGAUACGGGCAGACUAGAGUACUGCAGGGGAGACUGGAAUUCCUGGUGUAGCGGUGGAAUGCGCAGAUAUCAGGAGGAACACCGAUGGCGAAGGCAGAUCUCUGGGCCGUAACUGACGCUGAGGAGCGAAAGCGUGGGGAGCGAACAGG